rnacentral:lncRNA from 1 species
AGAGAGGCUCUGAGCCUGCUUCUGUGCUGCGGGAGUGUCUCUCUCUCCCUCCCUCCCCUCUCCCUGCUUCUGCACAGAAACACACACGCACAAACACAGAGAAAUAAGGGAAAGUACCGGGACUUAUCCUGCUGCUGCUGCAAACCCAAAGAUAGCAGACGAAGAGGGGGUUUGGCUCCUACCCCAAGGUAAAGCCCUGCCCCCUUUACCUCCUCGACACCUCCUCCGAGGAAGAGAAGGAGAGAGAGCGAAGGGGGCCAAAGUGGAGAAAAGCAGAUCUUCUGCGGCUGGCAUUUGGAGUACAGAGAGCCAGGAAGUGAAGGAUGGUUGUGGUUACCCGAGCUGGCUGCAGGGCAGCUCUCUUCCUCUGGGUUUUCAUCAGCAUUAGCUGCAGAGCCAGGACUGCUCUGCCUGCAUCUCGGAAUUGCAAAAGUGUCUGAGUUGGUAGUAUCCUGUUUGUGUAAGAAGCAGAUAAGUGGAUUUCAGAAUGGACAGAAGAAACUGUCUAAGCUGUCUAAGAAUGUGGAUGGAUUUUGCUGCUCACACAGUUGGUAAGUGAACUCAAAUCGAGGCUGAAAGCAGGGAUGUAUCUGCAAGCACCCUGUGGACAGGAAACCAAUUGUUCAUAAAUGCCUUCACUUUGGUGUGGUUUCAUGUAGUCACUUCAAGUUAGGGCUUAAAGAAUGAAGUAUCCUGAUUUUAAUUUCAACAAAACCAGGCUAUAUCCGAUUGUGAAUGCCUUUUAGUAUGCUUUGGGGCACCCCUUCUAAGUAAAAGCUCUUACAAGGCUGAAUCAAGGGUUUUCCUGACUAAGAAUUCUACUACGUAUUCUUUAUGAUAACACAGUAGAUUAAAAAUUCAUUAGACAUCUAUAUAUCAACGUAAGUAGAUGUAGUUGUAGUAUCAGAAGAUCUAAACCGAGAGGGUUUUUUUAAAGUUACUAAAUGCAGUUUUUGGGGUUUUUUUAAUCUUUGUGAGAAUUGAGGAAGGUGUGUAUCUGAACCCUGGAAGGUCAGAGUAUUCCUAAUCCCACCCCUUCCCACCCAUUGCAGAGAAUGAUGGACUAAGAGUCCAGAAGUAGGGGUGAUCUCACUUUUCAGCAAUCAUUUUGAUUAUCACUCCUUCCCUAAGCCACAGUUAAGCAUACUGUCAAGAAUGCAAAAUAGUACUCUGCUGAGGUUUUACAUAAUAAAAGAGUAUGUUAAGUAUGUGCU